ensembl:lncRNA
CACAAAGUACUGUUGUGGUUGUUCAGUCUCUCAGCCUUGUCUGACUUUUUGUGUCCCCAUCGACUGUAGCCCAUCAGGCCCCUCUGUCUCCAUGGGAUUUCCCAGCAAGAAAGGGUUGCCAUUUCCUUCUCCAGGGUAUCUUCCUGACCCAGGGAUUGAACCUGUGUCUCCUGCAUCUCUUGCAUUGGCAAAUGGAUUCUUUACCACUGAGCGAUCAGAUGGAAAAUGCAAAACAUCAUCCAUGAAGUCUUCAGGAAAAGAACUCAUGGAUCUCCUUUUAAUUGUGAAGAGGUUCCCAGACAUUUCUUCAUGGCUUACCUGCGUAGUCCAAGUCAUAGAUCAAGAAUCUACAGGAUUUAAAUGGCAAAUGUCAGCAUAUUUAUAAAUGGCUUUGGUAGAAUCAUGUUUUCAAACAUGCUCAUAAUUCUCUGUUAAGUGACAAGACCAUCACCUUCCUGUAAAUUAGUUCUUUUAGAACAUCUCAGUUUAGCCAGGUAACAACCACUGAAUAUUCACAAAAACAUCCUUUGGUGUUUACACCAAACAAGGAACAGCAUCCAGUAUCCAUGGAGCCCCUGUAACCAGGCAAAUCUGUGGCAGCUACUAAGCACUUGAGAGAAACGUGGGAAAAUCUACUGUUGGGAAAGACAGAAGACGAAAACCCAAUUCCAGGAGCCACUGGUUCAUGCUGCAACAUGCGUGGGUAAUCACCAGUUCUCCAAAAAGUACAGACAAUGGGCACAAAUGAAUCUUCAUCUCUCCUUAUCCUUUUCUAGCCUGAGGACAACGGAUGAUUAUGACCACUUCUGUCUGGAACUUAUAAUCACUAUGACUUUUCAUCCAUUCAACAGAUUUUAUUGAGCUUCUGCUCUGUUCUGGGUACUAUGUGGGCACCAGAAAAAAGCAUUUAAAUAAGACCUAGUCCCUGACUUUGGAUUUCUCACAGUGAAAUGAAAGAGGAAGGAACAAGUGCAUAUUGGCCGCAUAAUUAACAGUCACAUGUCUUGCCUGAUUGAGACAUCAUCACUGAAUGCAGCUCCUCAAAGGGACAGCUAGGAAAUUUUAAAGGUGACCUAAAAAUGGAAUUUGAAUAUAAGAGCGGAAACAUUCUUGCUAGCAAUAUGCCUGACUUUGGUUGGUCUUUCUGUAUAAAGCAGAGCUGUGAAGAGGCCGGGAGUCUUCCAAGGUUAGCAGGCUUCUGAGCUUCUGGGGGAAGGAGAAAAGGAGAACUAGGUCACACGUGCUGUGCCUGGUUGCCUGGAAUUGUUCUCCUAGUUGUGCUCAGGGAAAAGGACAACUUGACUUCAGUCUACUGGAAUGCACAUCAGCUGGGAGUGUCUGCUUGACCCUAAAAGGUUAUGUCAGAAACUUUCAAGUUGUGGAAUGUUGCUUGCUCUGUAGAAACACCAGAAGAUCUCACACCUGAAAGGACAACAUUCCAGACAAAAAUGUUCCGUAUCCUGGCCUUUAGAAAUGGGAACGCUGAUUUGCUGUGUGUGUUAAUGUGACUGUAGGAACACAGAUGGUUCUCAUGCUGCUGGACACUUCUGAUUUUAUUUGGUCAAAGUUAUAACCUGUGUGUUUCCUUAUGAUAUUCUCUUGGGAAAGCUCUGGUGAUGGGUUCCUUUAGUGCUCCAGCUGGAGUGAUCCUUCAAUUGCACUCAUUUGUGGCCACCUAGACUGUCAAAAAAAAAAAAAAAGCAAAGAUCAGAUCUCAUUGACUAUUCCUGUUAUUGGAGAACUAGGGAGAGUUAUUAUCAGCAUGCCCAGAUUGUCUCAGGCUUCCCUGGUAGCUCAGAUGGUAAAGAAUCUGCU